UACGGAGGGUGCUAACGUUGCUCGGACUUACUGGGCGUAAAGGGAGCGUAGGCGGUCUAUCAAGUCAAGUGUGAAAUCCCCGGGCUCAACCCGGGAAUUGCAUUUGAUACUGACAGACUAGAGUGUAUUAGAGGAGAGUAGAAUUCCUGGUGUAGCAGUGAAAUGCGUUGAGAUCAGGAGGAAUACCAGUGGCGAAGGCGACUCUCUGGGAUACAACUGACGCUGAGGCUCGAAAGCGUGGGGAUCAAACAGG
rnacentral:rRNA from 1 species